UACGUAGGGGCAAGCGUUGUCCGGAUUUAUUGGGCGUAAAGAGCGUGUAGGCGGCCAGGUAGGUCCGCUGUGAAAGUCCGAGGCUCAACCUCGGAAUGUCGGCGGAAACCCUCUGGCUAGAGUCCGGAAGAGGAGAGUGGAAUUCCCGGUGUAGCGGUGGAAAUGCGCAGAUAUCGGGAAGAACACCCGUGGCGAAGGCGGCUCUCUGGAACGGUACUGACGCUGAGACGCGAAAGCGUGGGGAGCGAACAGG
rnacentral:rRNA from 1 species